rnacentral:rRNA from 1 species
GACGAACGCUGGCGGCGUGCUUAACACAUGCAAGUCGAACGAAGUGGCGAACGGUUGCGUAAAGCGUAAUCAACCUGCCCUUCAGAGGGCGCCAACAGUUGGAAACGACUACUAAUACCGCACACCGCAGGAGGGGUUUUCGUCUGAUUAGCUAGUUGGAGGGGUCACGGCCCAACAAGGCGAUGAUCAGUAGCCGGUCUGAUAGGAUGAACGGCCACAAUGUGACUGAGACACGGCCCAGACUCCUACGGGAGGCAGCAGUGGGGAAUCUUCCGAAAUGGACGAAAGUCUGACGGAGCAACGCCGCGUGAGUGAUGACGGCCUUCGGGUUGUAAAGCUCUGUUAAUCGGGACGCGGUACCGGAAUAGAAAGCCACAGCUAACUACGUGCCAGCCGCCGCGGUAAUAC